AUCCGACCCCUUCUUAGUGCGUGCCGCGUGCUGGAGGCUUGUGUUUCGUUUUUGCUGCCACCAGUUUGAAGUGUGGAUGAUACAAUCGGUUCUGGAAGAAAGGGGGAUCACAUCGUCUGUGUAAGCCUUCAUCAUUUGUAGAUUAGGAGAUUGCUUCUUUGGGCCAAAAAAUAAGCUUACCUCAGAACUUGGUUUUAUUAAAUUUCGUCCUUGGCUAGAACUUCUGGUAAUAUUUCUUGCGGAUUAAGUUUGCUACUGGAAUCGCUUCGCCAACUAUGCAUUUCAUUAGCCGUCGGAAAUUCUAUACAUCUGCUUAUUUCUCUUGUUUGUUUGUUCAACAAGCAGUGAUGAUAAUUUCCAUUAGCACCCCCCCCCCCCCCC